rnacentral:rRNA from 1 species
GACGAACGCUGGCGGCGUGCUUAACACAUGCAAGUCGAACGGAAAGGCCCUGCUUUUUUGGGGUUCUCGAGUGGCAAACGCGUGAGUAACACGUAAGUAACCUGCCCUUGUCUUUGGGGUAACUUCAGGAAACUGGGGCUACUAUCGGAUAGCAGCUCCUCCUGCAGGGUGGGGAUGGGAACGUUUCGGCGUGUGUGGAUGGACUCGCGGCUUAUCAGCUUGUUGGUGGGGUAGUGGCUUGCCAAGGCUUUGACGGGUAGCUGGCCUGAGAGGGUGACCGGCGACAUUGGCACUGAGAUAAGGCCCAGACUGCGACGGGAGGAAGAAGGGGGGAAUCUUGCACAAUGGGCGGAAGCCUGAUGAAGCAACGCCGCGUGCGGGAUGACGGCCUUCGGGUUGUAGAACGCUAUCGCCUGUGACGAAGCCUGAGUGGCCGUAAUGGGUAAAGAAGCCCCCGCUAACUACGUG